UACGAAGGGGGCUAGCGUUGUUCGGAAUCACUGGGCGUAAAGCGCACGUAGGCGGCUUUCUAAGUCAGGGGUGAAAUCCUGGAGCUCAACUCCAGAACUGCCUUUGAUACUGGGGAGCUCGAGUCCGGAAGAGGUGAGUGGAACUCCGAGUGUAGAGGUGAAAUUCGUAGAUAUUCGGAAGAACACCAGUGGCGAAGGCGGCUCACUGGUCCGGUACUGACGCUGAGGUGCGAAAGCGUGGGGAGCAAACAGG
rnacentral:rRNA from 1 species